GAUGAACGCUGGCUACAGGCUUAACACAUGCAAGUCGAGGGGUAGCAGGGUAGCAAUACCGCUGACGACCGGCGCACGGGUGAGUAACACGUAUCCAACCUUCCCAUAACUCGGGGAUAGCCUUUCGAAAGAAAGAUUAAUACCCGAUAGUACUUAUAUAGGGCAUCCUACAUAAGUUAAAGAUUUAUUGGUUAUGGAUGGGGAUGCGUUCCAUUAGAUAGUUGGUGAGGUAACGGCUCACCAAGUCUUCGAUGGAUAGGGGUUCUGAGAGGAAGAUCCCCCACAUUGGUACUGAGACACGGACCAAACUCCUACGGGAGGCAGCAGUGAGGAAUAUUGGUCAAUGGGCGAGAGCCUGAACCAGCCAAGUAGCGUGAAGGAUGAAGGUCCUAUGGAUUGUAAACUUCUUUUAUAGUAGAAUAAAGUGAUCCACGUGUGGAUUUUUGUAUGUAUACUAUGAAUAAGGAUCGGCUAACUCCGUGCCAGCCGCCGCGGUAAAAC
rnacentral:rRNA from 1 species